ensembl:lncRNA
CCUUGGCAGCCGUGUCAGAACCUGCACACCACAGCUGCUCUAACUUCAUCUCAAUGCCUCUCACCUUUGUUCUCCAGGCUCCAGACGCACUGGCCUGCAUCCUGUCCUGCCAUAUUUUGCUAAUCCUCUCCCCAGCCCUAGGAGAUUAAUCUUGAAGAGUCUAAAUGGAUCGUGGUCAUUCCAUUCUCCUUGUUGGAAUCAAUAAAAUCUCCAGACCAGUGUCUCUGGGGGAACCCAGUGCCUGGAGGAUAAGGACCAAAAGAAGCUUUACUUUUCCCUUAAUACCUUUUUGAACUCCGAAUUUUGCAACAAGAACAUGUAUGUAUGAAAAAAAGACAUAAAGUUUGUAAAUACAAAAAAAUUAAUUAAAAUACAAAGAGUUUAAUUAAAAAACUGUCCUAAAGAAUAAUUUUGUUUGUUUGUUUUGAGGAAAAUUAGCCCUGAGUUAACAUCCACUGCCAAUGCUCCUGUUUGCUGAGGAAGACUGGCCCUGAGCCAUCAUCCAUGCCCAUCUUCCUCUCCCUCAUAUGUGGGACGCCUGCCACAGCAUGGCUUGAUAAGUCACACUAGGUCCGCACCCAGGAUUCGAACCAGCAAACCCUGGGCCACCAAAGUGCGACUACGCAGAAUGGUUAAGAAGCUGACGACUCUGUCAGGCAAACGAGUUCAAAUUCUGUCUCUGUCACUCCUUACCAGAUAUAUGACCUCAGGAAGAUUAGCCCUGAGCUAACUGCUGCCAAUCCUCCUCUUUUUGCUGAGGAAGACUGGCCCUGAGCGAACAUCCAUGCACAUCUUCCUCUACUUUACAUGUGGGACGCCUGCCACAGCAUGGCUUGACAAGAGGUACCAUGUCCGCACCCAGGAUCCGAACUGGAGAACCCUGGGCCGCUGAAGCAGAACACGCAAACUUAACCGCUGCGCCACUGGCCCGGCCCCCACGUGAGCACAAUUGUGAGGAGUUGAAAAAGGGAAAAGACAUGAAAAGAAGAAAAGGAAAGAGAACUGAGAAGAAAGCAGAUGACUUGUAACCGGUAAUAGUAGACUAAUCCAACAGAAAAGAGGAGAAAACAAAAGAAAAAGAAAUGAGAGAAAGUAAAAGUAAGGACAUAAUAUAAAGGUGAGUUUUUUUAAAGUAGACUGCAAAGUAAUACACUUUUCACUAAUGGAUUGCAUUUCCAUCACUCCAUAACCCAUAGAAUCCUAUAUAAAUACAUUGGAAACUAAUAAAGAGCAAGCACCCUAGAAGUCUGGCCCAGGAACGGUAUCUUAGUUUGAAUGUAGCUGGCAAUGUGUGCUGAGUACUUACCACUUAGACCCUAUUUCAGCCUUAUUCAUUCAUUUAUUCAACGAAUAUGAAAUGCCUUGACUUAGACACUGAGGAUACUGCAGUGAACAAGACAAACAUAAUUCCUCCCCUCAUAAAGCGUACUGUUUUAAGAUUUAUUUGGGUAGUUAUAGUGGGUUGAAUAAUGUUCUUUAAAAAUGCAUGUCUAGGGGGCCAGCCCGGUGGUGCAGCGGUUAAGUUAGCACGUUCCACUUCUCGGCAGGCCGGGGUUCGCUGGUUAGGAUCCCGGGUGCAGACAUGGCACUGCUUGGCACACCGUGCUGUGGUAGGCAUCCCACGUAUAAAAUAGAGGAAGACGGGCACGAUGUUAGCUCAGGACCAGUCUUCCUCAGCAAAAAGGAGGAGGACUGGCAGUAGUUAGCUCAGGGCUAAUCUUCCUCAAAAAAAAAAAAAAAAUGCAUGUCUACAUGUAACCUCAGAAUGUGAACCUAUUUGGAUAUAGGGUCUUUUUAGAUGCAACUAGCUAAGGAUCUGGAGAUUAAGUCAACCUAGAUUUAGGGUAGGUCCUAAAUCCAGUGACUGGUGUCAUUAUAAGAGAAGCAGACACAAGAGAAGGCAGAGAUGGGGAGAUAGAGGAAGAUUGGAAUGAUUCAUCUGCAAGCCAGGGAAUGCCAAGAACUGCUGGCAGCCACCAGAAGCAGGGAGAGAGGCACCAGACGGACGGUUCUGCCUCAGAGCCUCCAGAAGGAUCCGGCCCUGCUGGCACCUUGAUUUCAGACUUUCUGGCCUCCAGAGCUGUGAGAGAAUAAAUUUCUGUUGUUUUAAGGCACCCAGUUUGUGAUCAUUUGUCAUGGCAGCCCCAAGAAACUAGUAAGGUGGCGAACAGAGUUAACGCAAAAAUCAGCACCCGGACUUCAGUUUCCCUUCUCACAGAGUGCACUGAGCAUGUGAGUGGCCUGAGGAAACAACGGUGCAGAGGUGGCACUUUAUUUAUUUAUUGUGCAUGCAUGUUUGUGUGUGUGUGUGUGUGAGGAAGAUUGGUCCUGAGCUAACAUGUGUGCCAAUCUUCCUCUUUUUGCUUGAGGAAGAUUGGCCCUGAGCUAACAUCUGUUGCCAAUCUUCUUAUUUUUGCUUGAGGAAGAUUGGCCUUGAGCUAACAUCUGUUGCCAAUCUUCCUCUUUUUGCUUGAGGAAGAUUGUCCCUGAGCUAACAUCUGUGCCAAUCUUCCUCUAUUUUGUAUGUGGGAUGCCACCACAGCAUGUCUUGAUGAGAGGUGUGUAGGUCCAUGCCUGGGAUCCAAACUCGUGAACCCUGGGCCGCCAAAGCAGAGCACAUGAACUUAACCACUAUGGCACCUGGCUAGCCCCUAGCUGUAGCACUUUCUUAAGAAUUUAACAAAAUUCUUAAUAAAGGACCAAAGAGUAAGGGUGGGUUCACUAACAGAAAGGACUCAGAUCAUUUGGAGUGACCCUAUUCAUUUUACAGCUGAAGAAACUGAAGCGAUCUGCCUUUUGGCUUCCUUUCUCUUUUGCUCAAGCGAGACGCAGAUGGUCUGUCCUAUCUCAGCAGGAAAUCUCUGUCUGGCUGACACCCUGAAUGAUUCAGCUGGAUUCCCUACGUGGGGUGGGGGGAGGAUUUCUUGCCAGGAAGAUGGUAACUAUAAACUCCAUUUAUUCGACUGUUAUUCUAGAGUACCUAUUCUGUAAGUCACAACGGGAGAAGCAAGAAAUAUGAACUCCUGUUCUUUAGAAACACAAACACAAUCCCAAAUACGAAAGCUAUUACAUUUAGACUGUAAGUCAAGUCACGCAAGUAUUAUUUUUGAACCUUGGAUUAAAACUAAAGGCUCAAAAUAAGGGAGAAGAAAAGAAAACUGUGGAACAUUUCCACCAGUGGCAUUUAAAACAAGGGCAAGGCUUAGCUAUCUGGCUUAAAGCAGACCAAUUCUCCUACUUAGAAAAGCCAGAAAAGCAGGACGAAACACACACACACACACACACACACAGCCCUCUAUUUAAUGUUGUUGAAGAACUGUGAAAGUAGCCAAAAACUUGAGAGGGUCAAAGCCCUUAAAAGAAGGAAAAUGAAUUGAGCCUGGGCAGAGAGGCUGAGAAGCUGGGCAGAAAGUGGCUCCUGAGGUGCAGAGAAACCGAGUGUAGCUGUUUGCAGGAUCCUGGGACUGGAGAAUCCAAAACAAGUUCAAAACUGUCAAGAGACCCAAGAUGUAAGAAACCAAAAUCCUAGAGAGAAGACAAACAUGGGAAAAUCUGCCUGAUUGUCCAAGCCCCUUUUCCUCUUGAGACAGCCAUCCAUUUGUCUGUGGUGUGGGCCGACAGAGAGAAGCUGAUCCUGCAAAUGCUCCCUAAGAGGCUGAGAUGCUAAGCACAGCUUUCGGCAGUCUCAAUGUGCUGGGGACAUAAAAAAGAAAUGGAGGGUAGGGGCCGCCAAAGUGGAGGUGCCCAGGCAAACAUUCCAGGAUUUCAGCUGAGACUUCCUACACCUCAGAAGUAAGGGCCAACCCCACAUAGACAGAGCCUUAAAGACUGAGAUGCUGGCUCAAAUCAGCUUGCUCCCUGAUGGGAUUAAGGCGAUCUGCUCCUACACUAACUGCCUUCCAGAAGCUGAACAACAUUCUCUCUGAAAAAAGAGAAGAGCAUCUAGACCUACAAUUUUUCGUACACAGUCCAGUCUUCCCUGGAAGAUUAGCAGACACACCCAGAGAGACUAAGAAAAAAAAAG